rnacentral:tRNA from 1 species
GCUUUUGAAGGAUCACAGCCUAUCCGUU